rnacentral:lncRNA from 1 species
AAAACAGCAGUUUCAGUGGACGGUGGGCUGUAAAUUCUUGGUAGGAGAAGACAGGUCUCCACGGAAUCGUUCCGAGGUCAGAUCUGUUGAGAUUGCAAGGUUAGUAGGUAGAGUUAAAGAGGAAUGCUUAAGCCAGAGACAGGCAAGUGAAAUGACUAGCUCAGACUUGGUUAGCAAAGGAAACACCAGGCUGCUCUCACGAUAACUUGAGAUUUUUGUUAACCUGAUAUUCUCUAGAAAGAGAAGGAAAACCCAGUAAUUAUAUGGUUGCUACGCCACUGUCAAAAGAGGCUGUCAAUUUGUAUCAUCUUAAUACACCAACUAGGGGACUGUUAAUUAUAGUUUUCACUCUGGUAAAUUGCAGGAGAAGCUAUAUAAAUUACACCGCCACUUACAACAUUAUCUGGAGCUAAUCCAGAAAGUGGCAAAUGACCUUCAGCCAGCAGUUCUCAGACUGUGACCUACACCUCAGGACUUACUAGAAGUCCUGGUUCUCAACGGGACUCCUCACCACCACAUGGGAAACUCUGGUGACCGGCUCAGCACAGUUCAUUGUGACAACCACUCCACAGUGCUGUCUGGGACCGAGGGAAAAUGACAACAAACAAUUCGACCUUGAACUUACUUCAAGAUCCUGUACCCAGCACUGCGUUAAAAGCUCUAUUUCGGCACUCACUCGGAUUAAAGCACUGCUCAAAACACAGCCUUGCCAACUUGGCUCCAGGGGAGAAGCAGCCACUGGAACAAUGCAGGCAAUUUAAUCG